GUGCCCGUGGCCGAUUGGCUUAGGCACCAGCCUUCCAAGCUGGAUAGGCGGGUUCGAUUCCCGCCGGGCACU
rnacentral:tRNA from 1 species